GAUGAAGAACGUAGCGAAAUGCGAUAACUAGUGUGAAUUGCAGAUUUCAGUGAAUCAUCGAGUCUUUGAACGCACAUUGCGCCCCUUGGUAUUCCGAGGGGCAUGCCUGUUCGAGCGUCAUUUUGACCACUCCCGCUUGCGGGGUCUUGGGCCUUCGCCUCUGGGCGGGCCUUAAAAUCAGUGGCGGUGCCGUCCGGCUCUAAGCGUAGUAAAUCUCCUCGCUAUAGGGUUCCGGAGGGAUGCUGGCCAACAACCCCCAACUUUUAAGGUUGACCUCGGAUCAGGUAGGGAUACCCGCUGAACUUAAGCAUAUCAAUAAGCGGAGGA
rnacentral:misc_RNA from 1 species